rnacentral:piRNA from 1 species
GAGAAAGCUCACAAGAACUGCUAACUCACC